CUGAAUCCAUAGGUUAAUGAGGCGAACCGGGGGAACUGAAACAUCUAAGUACCCCGAGGAAAAGAAAUCAACCGAGAUUCCCCCAGUAGCGGCGAGCGAACGGGGAGCAGCCCAGAGCCUGAAUCAGUGUGUGUGUUAGUGGAAGCGUCUGGAAAGGCGUGCGAUACAGGGUGACAGCCCCGUACACAAAAAUGCACAUACUGUGAGCUCGAUGAGUAGGGCGGGACACGUGGUAUCCUGUCUGAAUAUGGGGGGACCAUCCUCCAAGGCUAAAUACUCCUGACUGACCGAUAGUGAACCAGUACCGUGAGGG
rnacentral:rRNA from 1 species